rnacentral:tRNA from 2 species
GCCCGCCUAGCUCAAUCGGAUAGAGCGUCAGACUUUUACGACUGUCGGUUCCAUCUGACGUAAUCUGAAGGCUGCGAGUUCGACCCUCGCGGUGGGCU